CCCCCCCAAUACUGAUAUUUUUUCUCUCUCUAUGUUGAAACAUUGAGCAGGAGAUGAGUGAAAUCUUGCCUGCUCUGAUAAAAAGAGCUUGUCAGGAGAACAGAGGGCAGGCCGAGGAAAGCAGAAGCAGGACUCUGGAGAACUCGACUGCAUCUGAGGAGGAAGUUAUCCUAAAAACUGGACCUUUCGGACCUUCACUCCCUGGAGGGAUCAACUGGGCCUCAAACUGAGCUGGGAAUUCAAACUGGAGGUUUGGAUCCAGUUUCCCAGAGAGGACGUUGAGUUUACACACUGAGCAAGGGAAUCAUCUCCACAACGACCCGUUCAAGUACCGCAGGAAAUCUGAGUGGCAGUCAGUUUCACCUACAACCGACCGUGUUUUGGGUAAACCCUGUUCCGCCCUCCACCGAAUCAGACUAACACUGGAAUACAGCACACAGAUUGGAGUCAAAGAUUCUACAACUUCUCUGGAAACGUGAGUCAACAACCGGAUCUUCUCCAAAUCCACGAAUGAAAUUUCCCACUGAGCCUGAACUAUUGCUGUGUCUUCUCCUCACCUUCCAGUUCCGGCUGAGCAGCGUUCAGAGCAACACUGCACCGUGCUUUAUCUCUUCAAUAA